UACGUAGGGUGCAAGCGUUAAUCGGAAUUACUGGGCGUAAAGCGUGCGCAGGCGGUUUUGUAAGUCAGAUGUGAAAUCCCCGGGCUUAACCUGGGAACUGCGUUUGAAACUACAAGGCUAGAGUGUGGCAGAGGGGGGUGGAAUUCCACGUGUAGCAGUGAAAUGCGUAGAGAUGUGGGGGAACACCGAUGGCGAAGGCAGCCCCCUGGGUUAACACUGACGCUCAGGCACGAAAGCGUGGGGAGCAAACAGG
rnacentral:rRNA from 1 species